rnacentral:rRNA from 1 species
GAUGAACGCUGGCGGCGUGCCUAAUACAUGCAAGUCGAGCGAACCACUUCGGUGGUGAGCGGCGAACGGGUGAGUAACACGUAGGUGAUCUGCCCAUCAGACGGGGACAACGAUUGGAAACGAUCGCUAAUACCGGAUAGGACGAAAGUUUAAAGGUGCUUCUGGCACCGCUGAUGGAUGAGCCUGCGGCGCAUUAGCUAGUUGGUAGGGUAAGGCCUACCAAGGCGACGAUGCGUAGCCGACCUGAGAGGGUGAACGGCCACACUGGGACUGAGACAGGGCCCAGACUCCUACGGGAGGCAGCAGUAGGGAAUCUUCGGCAAUGGGCGAAAGCCUGACCGAGCAACGCCGCGUGAAUGAUGAAGGCCUUCGGGUUGUAAAAUUCUGUUAUAAGGGAAGAACGACUUUAGUAGGAAAUGGCUAGAGUGUGACGGUACCUUAUGAGUAAGCCACGGCUAACUACGUGCCAGCCGCCGCCGUAA